rnacentral:rRNA from 1 species
UACGAAGGGGGGCUAGCGUUGCUCGGAAUCACUGGGCGUAAAGCGCACGUAGGCGGACUCUUAAGUCGGUGGUGAAAUCCUGGAGCUCAACUCCAGAACUGCCUUUGAUACUGAGAAUCUUGAGUAUGGGAGAGGUGAGUGGAACUGCGAGUGUAGAGGUGAAAUUCGUAGAUAUUCGCAAGAACACCAGUGGCGAAGGCGGCUCACUGGCCCAUAACUGACGCUGAGGCACGAAAGCGUGGGGAGCAAACAGG